AUUGAACGCUGGCGGCAUGCCUUACACAUGCAAGUCGAACGGCAGCGGACCUUCGGGUGCCGGCGAGUGGCGAACGGGUGAGUAAUAUAUCGGAACGUACCUUUCAGUGGGGGAUAACGUAGCGAAAGUUACGCUAAUACCGCAUAUUCUGUGAGCAGGAAAGCAGGGGAUCGCAAGACCUUGCGCUGAUUGAGCGGCCGAUAUCAGAUUAGCUAGUUGGUGAGGUAAAGGCUCACCAAGGCGACGAUCUGUAGCGGGUCUGAGAGGAUGAUCCGCCACACUGGAACUGAGACACGGUCCAGACUCCUACGGGAGGCAGCAGUGGGGAAUUUUGGACAAUGGGCGCAAGCCUGAUCCAGCUACGCCGCGUGGGUGAUGAAGGCC
rnacentral:rRNA from 1 species